GAGAGAUGAAUGAAUGAUACUUNCUUAGCAUGUAUAGUUGUGUACGUUUGCUUAUUCACUUUCUCUAUUAAUCAGAACUUCGACCAAAAUAUAGCUACUGCAAGACCCAUCUAAUAUGGUUAACAAUGAACCAUUACACAAUCCAUUCACCAACAGAGAUGGAUAACCCUUUUCCUUCACACACAACACAACAUCUUCAUCAUCACCCUUCCUCUGUAACCUGAAAUCUCUAGCCCCCAUUCUCGUCUUGAACUAGUGAUCUCCACCC
rnacentral:lncRNA from 1 species